UACGGGGGGGGGCAAGCGUUGUUCGGAAUUACUGGGCGUAAAGGCUCGUAGGUGGCCAAUUAAGUCAGACGUGAAAUCCCCAAGCUUAACUUGGGAACUGCGUCUGAUACUGAGUGGCUUGAAUUCGGGAGAGGGAUGCAGAAUUCCCAGGUGUAGCGGUGAAAUGCGUAGAUAUCUGGAGGAAUACCGGUGGCGAAGGCGGCAUCCUGGACCGAGAUUGACACUGAGGAGCGAAAGCCAGGGGAGCAAACGGG
rnacentral:rRNA from 1 species